CGGAAGGGGCUAGCGUUGCUCGGAAUUACUGGGCGUAAAGGGCGCGUAGGCGGCACUGUUAGUCAGGCGUGAAAGUCCUGGGCUCAACCUGGGAACUGCGCUUGAUACGGCAGAGCUAGAGGAUGGAAGAGGGUCGCGGAAUUCCCAGUGUAGAGGUGAAAUUCGUAGAUAUUGGGAAGAACACCGGUGGCGAAGGCGGCGACCUGGUCCAUUACUGACGCUGAGGCGCGACAGCGUGGGGAGCAAACAGGAUU
rnacentral:rRNA from 1 species